AACGAACGCUGGCGGCAGGCUUAACACAUGCAAGUCGAGCGCCCCGCAAGGGGAGCGGCAGACGGGUGAGUAACGCGUGGGAAUCUACCCAUCUCUACGGAAUAACGCAUGGAAACGUGUGCUAAUACCGUAUACGUCCUUCGGGAGAGAGAUUUAUCGGAGAUGAAUGAGCCCGCGUUGGAUUAGCUAGUUGGUGGGGUAAAGGCCUACCAAGGCGACGAUCCAUAGCUGGUCUGAGAGGAUGAUCAGCCACACUGGGACUGAGACACGGCCCAGACUCCUACGGGAGGCAGCAGUGGGGAAUAUUGGACAAUGGGCGCAAGCUUGAUCCAGCCAUGCCGCGUGAGUGAUGAAGGCCCUAGGGUUGUAAAGCUCUUUCACCGGUGAAGAUAAUGACGGUAACCGGAGAAGAAGCCCCGGCUAACUUCGUGCCAGCAGCCGCAGUAACAC
rnacentral:rRNA from 1 species